CCCAUGUACUGCCAUUGUGCUGAUGUUAUGGAAGUUAUCAGAAUAGUUGUCUCCUGCUAGAUGCUUGGAAGCUUCUGCCAGGAAAUUAUACAGAUGUUGGCAUGAAUGAAACAUGGGAACCAGUGAGAUAUGAUAUCAAGUUUAUAAACAGCAAAAGGAUUCCCCAAGGAGAAUGGCUCAGGUUCGAUCUCAGUGAAGCAAGAGCAAAGCAGGAACUCUUCCAGUACCUUUCAUAAUUGCAUAGUACCUUUCUGUAAUUGAGAUGAGAAAUAUCAGCUGUGAUAUGCUUUAGAACUGCACCCAGUCAGGAGACACCAAAGGAAUAACUGCAAAGACAAUAGGAUAUAUGAACAACGUAAGCCAAAGCUGUUGUGUGACACAGAAGACUGUUCAAAUCAAGUUCCUGACCUUCAAUAAA